CUGACAUGUGGUCUCUCUUUCUCGUCCGCCCGCCCGCGUCUCACGUCAUCCGCUCCCCGUGAGAAACGCUCCUCCAUUUCACUCGCUCGCUCGCGUCGCCUCCUCCGCAUCCGAUCGCCCCUCGCCUCCGCGCCCCCUCGGCGCCCUGAUCGACGCCAGAGCAUCGCCUGGCCGCUCCGAUCCCGGUGUUCGACACGAUGCAGCAGCCGAUGGAGAACGAGAGGCCAGCAGACCCCGGCCGGCCCGUCACCCCCUUCGAGCCCGGCAUCGCCGUCCCACGGCCUCCGGGGGCGUCCUCGCCGUUCACCGCCGGUGGACCGUUCUUGCAACCCGGCCUUCGCUGAUGAUCGCUGUCGCCUAAAAUAAGUGGCAGAUUGGGUACCAGACGUAGCAGCAAUGGAUCACUUGAGCAUGUGAAUCGGCUGGGAUGGGAUGCCAAGGCACGAUCUCGUGAAGCGUCGCAUUUUUUUAGCUUCUCUCGCCUGUUGACCCUCAACUGUUCGAUAAAAUGCCUGCCUCAGACGCCUUGUUUCAUCACCGUUUUAAUGCUUGUGUCAAUUGUGUAUGCGUCUGGUUGAGAGGUUAGAGUUACUUCUGUGCAUAAAUUUCUGCUCGUGUAUAUUCCUCUCUCACCUACUGAUUCGCUGCCUUGAAUCAUCAGCAGCGAUUUUUUUCCCCCAUAGAGUCACCAGUGGUGACAGUUCAUGCGCGUUUUUGUCCACAUUUGUUUUUUAAAAAAACUACCUGUCUACUGGUACAAGAUCUUAAACCUCAAAGGCAAAAAUUGCUCUUCCCGUUUUAUCAUGUUUGAUUCUUUGAAAUACUAACAAUUAGUAAUAACAUAACUCCACUUACAAUCAACAAUCUGCGGGACAUGUUUUAUACAUAGUAUUGAAUGACUUACCAAAAAUAAAAAACUGCAAGUAUUCUCCAUCGUACCUUUUGGCAAUAAGUUAAAACCUUCAUUUAUUUCCAAAAGAACACAAGUAUCAAUCACACUAGGAGCACAACCACUGCACACACUCCCACUCGUGCAUUGUCGCUUCGUCUCGCUACUGCUCCACUGAAAAUGGCACCUGGUGCAGGUCUUCGCGCCGCCGGCGCAGGUGGGUGGCGGGGCGGGGCUGCCCUUCCCGUUUGAGUCCGUUGGGCACCACAACCGCCUUGGGCUCUUCCUCUUCACGCUCACCUAGUCAUGUGAGGAUUUUUUGGAGCCUCCACUGGAAGAACUUUUAAGGCAGCUGAAGGCACAAGGCGGUAGACGAUUUAGCUAAUGGUUGGCUCUGUGAGCAGCUGACAAGGUACCCUGUCAGCACUGAACUCACCUGAUGAUUUGUUCAACUUUUUCGAUGAGCUACGAGGUGUGCUCACUGCACCAGAAGGUGUAAGUGUGGAGGACGUAUUUCUGGCUCCAAAUAGUCAACUUGGAGUUUUUCUUCGCUGCUGCAUACUUGCCUUCAAUUCAAUGACCUUUGAGGUGCUACAAGUAGUAGAAUGCAUUCACAACCAUUUGUUGUUCACGUUUUUGCCCCUCUUUAUUUUCUUAUUUAAGGCACCAAUGUGCUCACUGAAAAUGUUUUGUAUGGCGUGUGCCAUCUUUUGGCAAAUCUUGUGGUGUACUGUAACUCCACUGAUGCUUCGUAUGACUUGGCAGAAGAUGAGGACUUCAACAGCGAAAUGAGCAACUUGAUGGAUGCAGAUAUAGGUGUAUAUUUGACAAUCUGGGACAAUCUAGGACCUUAGAAAGGGCUAUCCACGACCUGAAUUAGUAGUGAAUACUGAUACUAAGAAAUAGUAUCCGUUACGAGUAUUUUAUUUUGAUUCCAAACCUAACAAAUUUACCUCCUUACAUGUUACAACUUUGACAUCUGAUACAAGAGGACUGCAGGCUAGCACAAACAGAUUGCCUGCAAACUCCUGAUGCAUUUGAGUAAUUGCAUUUAGCUGGGUUACGAUUCUAGCUUCUUUUUUGUCACUUUUAGAUCCAUUGAUGUAUGCUAUAGCUUUUGCAUAUGUUUGAUGUCAUCUUGUGUAAUUUUUGUUUCCGUUGCAACGCACGGGUAUUCAACUAGUAACAAUAAUAUAUGAAUUUGUC